CGCGUAGGCGGUUCGGCAAGUCUAGUGUGAAAUCUUCACCGCUUAACGGGAAGCGUGCACUGGAAACUGCUGGACUUGAGUGCGAGAGAGGUGAGUGGAAUUCCUGGUGUAGCGGUGGAAUGUGUAGAUAUCAGGAAGAACACCGGUGGCGAAGGCGGCUCACUGGAUCGCAACUGACGCUGAGGCGCGAAAGCUAGGGUAGCGAACG
rnacentral:rRNA from 1 species